AUCCAAUGGCAUUCUCCAUCCUUGUGGGAAUCAUGAAUGAACACCACCACUGGAUGUUGACGGUCAUCUACCCACAUGAGAGGAGAAGCCUUUUUUGGAUCCAUUGGGGGAAUCUAAAAGGAACAUUCAGAGAUGCCUGGAGUCAACAAGGGGCUUUAUGCGAAAGAAAGACUGCAAUGUGACAAGGUGGGCAUGCAGCACCCUGGCCCAUGUACGCCAGCAAGAUGGCACAUAAUGUGGUGUCCUGGCCUUAAAAUUUGCAGAGAAAAUAUU